rnacentral:rRNA from 1 species
AGAGUUUGAUCAUGGCUCAGGACGUACGCUGGCGGCGUGUUUAACACAUGCAAGUGGAGCGACGAACCAGGGCUUGCCCUGGGGCAGAGCCGCGAACGGGUGAGUAACACGUGGGUAACGUGCCCCAAUGAUCGGGACAACCCGGGGAAACCCGGGCUAAUACCGAAUGUGCUCUCCUCACACCAGUGAGGGGUGGAAAGGAAGCUUCGGCCUCCGCAUUGGGAUCGGCCCGCGGCCCAUUAGCUUGUUGGUGAGGUAACGGCUCACCAAGGCUGCGAUGGGUAGCUGGUCUGAGAGGACGAUCAGCCACACUGGGACUGAGACACGGCCCAGACUCCUACGGGAGGCAGCAGUGGGGAAUCUUGCGCAAUGCGCGAAAGCGUGACGCAGCAACGCCGCGUGGGGGAAGAAGGCCUUCGGGUUGUAAACCCCUUUCAGGAGGGACGAAGCCCGGGCGGUUAAUAGCCGAUCCGGGUGACGGUACCUCCAGAAGAAGCCCCGGCUAACUACGUGCCAGCAGCCGCGGUAAUACGUAGGGGGCAAGCGUUGUCCGGAAUUAUUGGGCGUAAAGCGCGUGUAGGCGGUCCGGUAAGUCGGCUGUGAAAGUCCAGGGCUCAACCCUGGGAUGCCGGUCGAUACUGCCGGACUAGAGUUCGGAAGAGGCGAGUGGAAUUCCCGGUGUAGCGGUGAAAUGCGCAGAUAUCGGGAGGAACACCAAUGGCGAAGGCAGCUCGCUGGGACGUUACUGACGCUGAGACGCGAAAGCGUGGGGAGCAAACAGGGUUAGAUACCCUGGUAGUCCACG